AAAUUGCGAAAAGUAAUGUGAAUUGCAGAAUUUCGUGAAUCAUCGAAUCUUUGAACGCAUAUUGCACUCUCUGGUCCUCUAGAGAGUAUGCCUGUUUGAGUAUCAUUAACACCCUCACCCCGUCAAAGGGCGUAAGCUCCGAGGCAGAGUGGACGUGAGCAUCCGGCGCUGAGCUGGUUGCUUCAAAUGCAGCGUAGCUGUACUUGGCACCGCAGCACUUGCGUAUUAGUUCUCGUCAGAGAUUCCUUACGCAUCUUGUGCAGCACCGCCUGCAGCCACGUCAAAGCAACACGAGCGUCUGGCAGUCGACAGGCGUCUCAACCCAUUGAUCUCAAAUCAGGCAAGACCACCCGCUGAAUUUAA
rnacentral:misc_RNA from 1 species